GGGCGCCCCCUCCUGUCUAACGGGUCCCCUGUACCCAGGGACUCCCAACCUUCGGUGCCACAUGGGUCCCCUGUACCCGGCGCUCUCUCCAACACCCCAACACCAACUGCGACACGCACCAGUGAGCAGCCACAGCAACUCUCAAAACAGUUCUCGCCUUCAUGUCCCAGUACCCAGAUAGCUUGAAUUCCAAUUCCCACGCCUCAGUGAUCACCCACAGCAUACAAGCAGCAGCACAGUUGGAUCGCGUCAGUCCUGAAGACGGACAGAGCACUCACUGUCCGAAACGUCGAGGAACCGGUUCUUUCAGGACCACACAUACUCAAAAGAGAUAUUUUCCACGUGGUGUAUCCGCAAACUCUCUACCUUAUACCUCGGAGUGAUGUGCGGUGGAGUGUGGCAUUCCACAGGGCAGCGUACGUGGACCUCUUCUUUUUUAACAUUAUGGUCUACCUGCCUGGCUUCUUCAGACAAGAAAGCAGGUUGACAAUUUGGAGAAAAACAUCAUAAGGGCUAAACAUCAGUGAUGAUGUGCGAACCAGAGAGGAUAUUAUUGUUGUUAAGUGCAACGGCA